rnacentral:misc_RNA from 1 species
GAAUCGCUAGUAAUCGCGGAUCAGCACGCCGCGGUGAAUACGUUCCCGGGCCUUGUACACACCGCCCGUCACACCAUGAGAGUUUGUAACACCCGAAGCCGGUGGCGUAACCCUUUUAGGGAGCGAGCCGUCUAAGGUGGGACAAAUGAUUAGGGUGAAGUCGUAACAAGGUAGCCGUAGGAGAACCUGCGGCUGGAUCACCUCNUUUCUAAGGAAACAGACUUUAAGUCUGACGGAAACCUGCACACACGAAACUUUGUUUAGUUUUGAGGGGACGACCCUCAAGCDCCCUAGCGGGCGCGANCUUUGUUCUUUGAAAACUGGAUAUCAUUGUUGUAAAUGUUUUAAAUUGCCGAGAACACAGCGUAUUUGUAUGAGUUUCUAAUAUAGAAAUUCGCAUCGCAUAACCGCUGACGCAAGUCAGUACAGGUUAAGUUACAAAGGGCGCACGGUGGAUGCCUUGGCACUAGGAGCCGAUGAAGGACGGAACUAAUACCGAUAUGCUUCGGGGAGCUAUAAGUAAGCUUUGAUCCGGAGAUUUCCGAAUGGGGGAACCC